CCCUUAGAUGUUCUGGGCCGCACGCGUGCUACACUGAGUGGAUCAGCGGGUCAGGUUGCGCGAAAGCGUUUCCUAAUCUUUAAAUCCGCUCGUGAUGGGGAUUGACGGUUGCAAUUUUCUGUCAUGAACGAGGAAUACCGUGUAAGCGCGGGUCAUCAUCCCGCGCUGAAUACGUCCCUGCCCUUUGUACACACCGCCCGUCGCUCCUACCGAUUGAGUGGUCCGGUGAGGCUUUGGGAUCUGAGCGGAAAGAGCGUUUCGCUGUUUCUGCUCGGAAAACUCAGUCGAACCUUAUCAUUUAGAGGAAGGAGAAGUCGUAACA
rnacentral:rRNA from 1 species